UACAGAGGGCUCAAGCGUUGUUCGGAUUCAUUGGGCGUAAAGGGUGCGUAGGUGGCGUGGUAAGUCGGGUGUGAAAUUUCGGAGCUUAACUCCGAAACUGCAUUCGAUACUGCCGUGCUUGAGGACUGGAGAGGAGACUGGAAUUUACGGUGUAGCAGUGAAAUGCGUAGAGAUCGUAAGGAAGACCAGUGGCGAAGGCGGGUCUCUGGACAGUUCCUGACACUGAGGCACGAAGGCGAGGGGAGCAAACGGG
rnacentral:rRNA from 1 species